GUGUUACUUCGGUAGCACAUAUACUAAAAUUGGAACGAUACAGAGAAGAUUAGCAUGGCCCCUGCGCAAAGGAAG
ensembl:snRNA U6 U6 spliceosomal RNA